AUUGAACGCUGGCGGCGUGCCUAAUACAUGCAAGUAGGACGCAGUUGCGAACGGGUGAGUAACGCGUAGGUAACUGCCUAUUAGAGGGGGAUAACUAUUGGAAACGAUAGCUAAUACCGCAUACUAGUAGAUGGACCUGCGUUGUAUUAGCUAGUAGGUAGGGUAAUGGCAUACCUAGGCGACGAUACAUAGCCGACCUGAGAGGGUGAUCGGACACACUGGGACUGGUACACGGCCCAGACUCCUACGGGAGGCAGCAGUAGGGAAGCUUCGGCAAUGGGGGGAACCCUGGCCGAGCAACGCCGCGUGAGUGAAGAAGGUUUUCGGACCGUAAAGCUCUGUUGUGAAGGAAGCGUUACUUAACCAGAAAGUGACGGCUAACUACGUGCCAGCGGCCGCGGUAAUAC
rnacentral:rRNA from 1 species